rnacentral:misc_RNA from 1 species
GUGUCCUAGAGCUCAAGGCAUCUAUCUUGCAUCAUAGGCUAUCAAUGUUGAAUACUAAGUUAAAUUCAAAUUAUCACUAUAAACAGAUAGAGAACUUGCAAAAUAUAAGUUCUGCAAUAUUACUAAAACAGAUACUGUCAAGCAAAUAUAUAAGACUGCUCAUUUGUAUACAUUUCUUUUCCAUAAAAGUUCCUUUAGAAUGCAAUCACCUGAACAGAGUAAGGAUAAUUUUUACUAAGAACGUUUAGAGUUUCUUUUACCUUUGCACCAG